rnacentral:other from 1 species
GACUCUCUGGUCUGAUCGCCAGUCAUGAACUGUCCCUGAGGCGAUAAAUACCAUCCUGGGGGUUCCACGUGGAUGCCAGCGUGCAGGUUCACCUUGCAGUGAAAAGCCCAACGUAUCCCAGCAGCCUCCACCUUGAAGCAUGGCUUCAAGGGCUAUUCUGACAGCGUCAGCACUGGGGAGCCU